rnacentral:pre_miRNA from 1 species
GUCACUGUCCCCCGUACUAACAUUUCUUUAAACGGUGUUGUGCGUGAGACAGCGACCG